GAAUUACCACAAGUCAUGGAUGUAUAAAAUUGGUUCCCUAGCUAUGGUUGGACAUUUGAUGCUAAAUGGAGUAUACACAAGUAUUUCUCUUUAUGUUUCCCAUCACAACUACCCAGGAGGGAAAGCAAUGCAGGAGCUACAUAGAAUAAUUCCAGCAACAGCAGAUGUGUCAUUACACAUCGAUGUACUUGCUGCACAGACGGGAGUCUCACGUUUUCUGGAGCUAAAUAGUAACUGGAGAUAUGACAAGAAG